AUUGAACGCUGGCGGCAUGCCUUACACAUGCAAGUCGAACGGUAACAGGUUAAGCUGACGAGUGGCGAACGGGUGAGUAAUAUAUCGGAACGUGCCCAGUCGUGGGGGAUAACGUAGCGAAAGCUACGCUAAUACCGCAUACGAUCUACGGAUGAAAGCGGGGGAUCGCAAGACCUCGCGCGAUUGGAGCGGCCGAUAUCAGAUUAGGUUGUUGGUGAGGUAAAAGCUCACCAAGCCAGCGAUCUGUAGCUGGUCUGAGUGGAGGAACAGCCACGCUGGAACUGGUACACGGUCCAGACUCCUGCGGGAGGCAGGAGUGGGGAAUUUUGGACAAUGGACGCAAUUCUGAUCCAGCAAUGCCGCGUGCAGGACGAAGGCCUUCGGGUUGUAAACUGCUUUUGUACGGAACGAAACGGUGAGCUCUAAUAUAGUUUGCUAAUGCCGGUACCGUAAGAAUAAGCACCGGCUAACUACGUGCCAGCCGCCGCCGUAACAC
rnacentral:rRNA from 1 species